AUGAACGCUGGCGGCGUGCCUAACACAUGCAAGUCGAGCGGAGGUGUGGAGUAGUUUACUAUGAAGCAUCUUAGCGGCGGACGGGUGAGUAACGCGUGGGCAACCUGCCCUAUGCAGGGGGAUAACAUAUCGAAAGGUGUGCUAAAACCGCAUAAAGCUUAAGAAUCGCAUGAUUUUAAGCCAAAGAUUUAUCGGCAUAGGAUGGGCCCGCGUCUGAUUAGCUAGUUGGUGAGGUAACGGCUCACCAAGGCGACGAUCAGUAGCCG
rnacentral:rRNA from 1 species